rnacentral:rRNA from 1 species
GACGAACGCUGGCGGCGUGCUUAACACAUGCAAGUCGAACGGAAAGGCCCUGCUUGCAGGGUACUCGAGUGGCGAACGGGUGAGUAACACGUGGGUGAUCUGCCCUGCACUUCGGGAUAAGCCUGGGAAACUGGGUCUAAUACCGGAUAGGAGCCAUUUUUAGUGUGAUGGUUGGAAAGUUUUUUCGGUGUAGGAUGAGCUCGCGGCCUAUCAGCUUGUUGGUGGGGUAAUGGCCUACCAAGGCGGCGACGGGUAGCCGGCCUGAGAGGGUGGACGGCCACAUUGGGACUGAGAUACGGCCCAGACUCCUACGGGAGGCAGCAGUGGGGAAUAUUGCACAAUGGGCGCAAGCCUGAUGCAGCGACGCCGCGUGGGGGAUGACGGCCUUCGGGUUGUAAACUCCUUUCGCUAGGGACGAAGCCUUUUGUGACGGUACCUAGAUAAGAAGCACCGGCUAACUACGUGCCAGCCGCCGCAGUAA